rnacentral:rRNA from 1 species
CACGUAUGGAACCUGCCCGCAGCAGGGGGAUAAGCGGAACAAAUUCCGUCUAAUACCGCGUAAGAACGUUGGGAGGCAUCUCCCGAUGUUUAAAGAUUUAUCGGCUGCGGAUGGCCAUGCGGCGCAUUAGCUAGUCGGCGGGGUAACGGCCCACCGAGGCGACGAUGCGUAGGGGUUCUGAGAGGAAGGUCCCCCACACUGGUACUGAGACACGGACCAGACUCCUACGGGAGGCAGCAGUGAGGAAUAUUGGUCAAUGGCCGAGAGGCUGAACCAGCCAAGUCGCGUGAGGGAAGACGGCCCUACGGGUUGUAAACCUCUUUUGUCGGGGAGCAAAGCGAACCACGUGUGGUUCAUUGAGAGUACCCGAAGAAAAAGCAUCGGCUAACUCCGUGCCAGCAGCCGCGGUAAUACGGAGGAUGCGAGCGUUAUCCGGAUUUAUUGGGUUUAAAGGGUGCGCAGGCGGAGGUGCAAGUCAGCGGUCAAAUUGCGGGGCUCAACCCCGUACUGCCGUUGAAACUGCAUCCCUUGAGUGCGCGAGAAGUAUGCGGAAUGCGUGGUGUAGCGGUGAAAUGCAUAGAUAUCACGCAGAACUCCGAUUGCGAAGGCAGCAUACCGGCGCGCAACUGACGCUCAUGCACGAAAGCGUGGGUAUCGAACAGGAUUAGAUACCCUGGUAGUCCACGCA